CGAACGCUGGCGGCGUGGAUUAGGCAUGCAAGGUCGAACGGUAUGGACCUUUCGGGGUUCAGAGAGUGGCGAACGGGUGAGUAACACGUAGGUAAUCUACCCUCAAGACGGGGACAACCCAGGGAAACUUGGGCUAAUACCGGAUGUGUGUAGUGGCUAUUUUCUGAUUAUCAUUAUUUACGUAAGUGAGUAAUAAUAAGAAGGGAAAGUGGUUAUUACAUAAAAGGUGGCGUAAGCUGCCGCUUGGGGGAUGAGCCUGCGUCCUAUUAGUUAGUUGGUGAGGUAACGGCUUACCAAGGCGAUGAUAGGUAGGCGGCCUUAACGGGUGGUCGCCCACACUGGGAUUGAGAUACGGCCCAGACUCCUACGGGAGGCAGCAGUCGAGAAUAGUCUACAAUGGACGGAAGUCUGAUAGUGCGACGCCGCGUGAACGAAGAAUCCCUUCGGGGUGUAAAGUUCUUUUAUACGUGAGCAGUGUCCUUUAUAUUAAUAGUAUAAGGGGAGAGAUAUUAGCGUAUGAAUAAGCAACGGCUAACUCCGUG
rnacentral:rRNA from 1 species